rnacentral:rRNA from 1 species
CCUACGGGAGGCAGCAGUGGGGAAUUUUGGACAAUGGCCGAAAGCCUGAUCCAGCCAUUCCGCGUGCAGGAUGAAGGCCCUCGGGUUGUAAACUGCUUUUGUACAGAACGAAAAAGCUCUGGCUAAUACCUGGAGUCCAUGACGGUACUGUAAGAAUAAGCACCGGCUAACUACGUGCCAGCAGCCGCGGUAAUACGUAGGGUGCAAGCGUUAAUCGGAAUUACUGGGCGUAAAGCGUGCGCAGGCGGUUUUGUAAGACAGAGGUGAAAUCCCCGGGCUCAACCUGGGAACUGCCUUUGUGACUGCAAGGCUGGAGUGCGGCAGAGGGGGAUGGAAUUCCGCGUGUAGCAGUGAAAUGCGUAGAUAUGCGGAGGAACACCGAUGGCGAAGGCAAUCCCCUGGGCCUGCACUGACGCUCAUGCACGAAAGCGUGGGGAGCAAACAGGAUUAGAUACCCUGGUAGUCCACGCCCUAAACGAUGUCAACUGGUUGUUGGGUCUUGACUGACUCAGUAACGAAGCUAACGCGUGAAGUUGACCGCCUGGGGAGUACGGCCGCAAGGUUGAAACUCAAAUGAAUUGACGG